CAGGGUCUGACGUCGUCGCACUGUCGCAGUAACUACUAACUACGGAACCGCAACUGUAUAUUAUGAUAUAAUAAUAAGGUUCGGAGCUGUACCGUUUCUGCGUUCCCGUGUCAAUAGUGAUGCAUCUGUAUUAUGUAUAGGCGUAUAGCUAUAUAUAUAUAUAUAUAUAUAUAUAUGCCAGAAGAGACGAUGUUUACACAAUGAGUUUCCAGGGUGGCGUAAAUAUAUAUUUUAUUUGCAGACGCACAAUGCAUAAAAUACGCAAGUCCAAUAAACCCAAACAUUGUCGUCAUUACGCUGUGCUCUGCGGUCGAAAAAUAUGUAAUACGAGUUUAUAAAUAAUAACUAUCUUAUACGUACAUACGAUUGUACGUAUGCCUUUUAAAAUUCAACAAUUAUUAAUAUUUUACAUAUACAUAGUUAGAUACCUAUUGG